UACAGAGGGGGCAAGCGUUGUUCGGAAUUACUGGGCGUAAAGGGCGCGUAGGCGGCCUUCUAAGUCGAACGUGAAAUCCCUGGGCUCAACCCAGGAACUGCGUCCGAUACUGGAAGGCUUGAAUCCGGGAGAGGGAUGCGGAAUUCCAGGUGUAGCGGUGAAAUGCGUAGAUAUCUGGAGGAACACCGGUGGCGAAGGCGGCAUCCUGGACCAUGACUGACGCUGAGGAGCGAAAGCCAGGGGAGCAAACGGG
rnacentral:rRNA from 1 species